rnacentral:rRNA from 1 species
CAAUCAAACCGGGAGAUAGCUGGUUCUCCCCGAAAGCUAUUUAGGUAGCGCCUCGUGAAUUCAUCUCCGGGGGUAGAGCACUGUUUCGGCUAGGGGGCCAUCCCGGCUUACCAACCCGAUGCAAACUGCGAAUACCGGAGAAUGUUAUCACGGGAGACACACGGCGGGUGCUAACGUCCGUCGUGAAGAGGGAAACAACCCAGACCGCCAGCUAAGGUCCCAAAGUCAUGGUUAAGUGGGAAACGAUGUGGGAAGGCCCAGACAGCCAGGAUGUUGGCUUAGAAGCAGCCAUCAUUUAAAGAAAGCGUAAUAGCUCACUGGUCGAGUCGGCCUGCGCGGAAGAUGUAACGGGGCUAAACCAUGCACCGAAGCUGCGGCAGCGACGCUUAUGCGUUGUUGGGUAGGGGAGCGUUCUGUAAGCCUGCGAAGGUGGCCUGUGAGGGUUGCUGGAGGUAUCAGAAGUGCGAAUGCUGACAUAAGUAACGAUAAAGCGGGUGAAAAGCCCGCUCGCCGGAAGACCAAGGGUUCCUGUCCAACGUUAAUCGGGGCAGGGUGAGUCGACCCCUAAGGCGAGGCCGAAAGGCGUAGUCGAUGGGAAACGGGUUAAUAUUCCCGUACUUGGUGUUACUGCGAAGGGGGGACGGAGAAGGCUAUGUUGGCCGGGCGACGGUUGUCCCGGUUUAAGCGUGUAGGUGUGUGUUCCAGGUAAAUCCGGUU